UUAAAUUGAAGAGUUUGAUCAUGGCUCAGAUUGAACGCUGGCGGCAGGCCUAACACAUGCAAGUCGAACGGUAACAGGAAGCAGCUUGCUGCUUUGCUGACGAGUGGCGGACGGGUGAGUAAUGUCUGGGAAACUGCCUGAUGGAGGGGGAUAACUACUGGAAACGGUAGCUAAUACCGCAUAAUGUCGCAAGACCAAAGAGGGGGACCUUCGGGCCUCUUGCCAUCGGAUGUGCCCAGAUGGGAUUAGCUUGUUGGUGGGGUAACGGCUCACCAAGGCGACGAUCCCUAGCUGGUCUGAGAGGAUGACCAGCCACACUGGAACUGAGACACGGUCCAGACUCCUACGGGAGGCAGCAGUGGGGAAUAUUGCACAAUGGGCGCAAGCCUGAUGCAGCCAUGCCGCGUGUAUGAAGAAGGCCUUCGGGUUGUAAAGUACUUUCAGCGGGGAGGAAGGGAGUAAAGUUAAUACCUUUACUCAUUGACGUUACCCGCAGAAGAAGCACCGGCUAACUCCGUGCCAGCAGCCGCGGUAAUACGGAGGGUGCAAGCGUUAAUCGGAAUUACUGGGCGUAAAGCGCACGCAGGCGGUUUGUUAAGUCAGAUGUGAAAUCCCCGGGCUCAACCUGGGAACUGCAUCUGAUACUGGCAAGCUUGAGUCUCGUAGAGGGGGGUAGAAUUCCAGGUGUAGCGGUGAAAUGCGUAGAGAUCUGGAGGAAUACCGGUGGCGAAGGCGGCCCCCUGGACGAAGACUGACGCUCAGGUGCGAAAGCGUGGGGAGCAAACAGGAUUAGAUACCCUGGUAGUCCACGCCGUAAACGAUGUCGACUUGGAGGUUGUGCCCUUGAGGCGUGGCUUCCGGAGCUAACGCGUUAAGUCGACCGCCUGGGGAGUACGGCCGCAAGGUUAAAACUCAAAUGAAUUGACGGGGGCCCGCACAAGCGGUGGAGCAUGUGGUUUAAUUCGAUGCAACGCGAAGAACCUUACCUGGUCUUGACAUCCACGGAAGUUUUCAGAGAUGAGAAUGUGCCUUCGGGAACCGUGAGACAGGUGCUGCAUGGCUGUCGUCAGCUCGUGUUGUGAAAUGUUGGGUUAAGUCCCGCAACGAGCGCAACCCUUAUCCUUUGUUGCCAGCGGUCCGGCCGGGAACUCAAAGGAGACUGCCAGUGAUAAACUGGAGGAAGGUGGGGAUGACGUCAAGUCAUCAUGGCCCUUACGACCAGGGCUACACACGUGCUACAAUGGCGCAUACAAAGAGAAGCGACCUCGCGAGAGCAAGCGGACCUCAUAAAGUGCGUCGUAGUCCGGAUUGGAGUCUGCAACUCGACUCCAUGAAGUCGGAAUCGCUAGUAAUCGUGGAUCAGAAUGCCACGGUGAAUACGUUCCCGGGCCUUGUACACACCGCCCGUCACACCAUGGGAGUGGGUUGCAAAAGAAGUAGGUAGCUUAACCUUCGGGAGGGCGCUUACCACUUUGUGAUUCAUGACUGGGGUGAAGUCGUAACAAGGUAACCGUAGGGGAACCUGCGGUUGGAUCACCUCCUUACCUUAAAGAAGC
rnacentral:rRNA from 1 species